rnacentral:lncRNA from 1 species
AUCAUUUUAGGGUAGUGUUUUACUUUGUUAAAACCAUAUAAACGUAUUCUAUAGAAAGAAGGUUAGACUGGGGUAUGAGCUUGAUAUAUAUAUAUAUAUAUAUAUGUGGGUGAAUUGGAUGUGAAACCUGAGAUUCUUAACCCCAGAAUUGCAUCCACAAAGUCUCCGGUGAGUUUCGAAAGCCUUUGCGAAUUUUGUUCUAAAUACUGGACUGAUCUUUCUCCGCUCCAAGGAGACUUCUUUUGCUAGGUAGGGAAAACCAUUCCUGU